rnacentral:rRNA from 1 species
CCUACGGGGGGCAGCAGUGGGGAAUAUUGCGCAAUGGGCGAAAGCCUGACGCAGCGACGCCGCGUGAGUGAUGAAGGUCUUCGGAUCGUAAACCUCUGUCAGCAGGGAAGAACGGUCACUGUGCUAAUCAGCAGUGAAUUGACGGUACCUGCAAAGGAAGCACCGGCUAACUCCGUGCCCGCAGCCGCGGUAAUACGGAGGGGGCGAGCGUUAAUCGGAAUUACUGGGCGUAAAGGGCGCGUAGGCGGUAUGGCAAGUCAAGGGUGAAAUCCCCGCGCUCAACGUGGGAACUGCCUUUGAAACUGGCAAGCUGGAGUGUGUGAGAGGAAAGUGGAAUUCCAGGUGUAGGAGUGAAAUCCGUAGAUAUCUGGAGGAACAUCAGUGGCGAAGGCGACUAUCUGGCACAUAACUGACGCUGAGGAGCGAAAGCGUGGGUAGCAAACAGGAUUAGAUACCCUUGUAGUC